rnacentral:rRNA from 1 species
UCCUUACGGGAGGCAGCAGUGGGGAAUAUUCGACAAUCGCCGCAAGCGCUAUCCAGCACUACAGGGUGUGUCAAGAAGCCCUCCUGGUGUGAAAUAAUAAGCCGUGAGGAAAGAAACACUUUAAAUCCAUAGCUAUGACGUACCGAAUAAAA